CCAGAAGUGAGCCACCGCACCUGGCCUCCAUUCAUUUUCUUAUGCUCUUUCUGGCACGAAUAUAUUAAAAGUAGUAAUUAUAGUGAAAAUGCAUAGCCCUUAUUUAGCACUAGCCCUCUGCCAGGUACUGUGCUUUAUCUCAUUUAAUUCUCCAAAGCAAAAACAAGACAAAAGAAUGUGUUAGGUACUUUUAUCGAGCCUGCUGGAACAUAAGAGGAAAUUACAGCGUGGAGAGGUUAAAAGAUUUCCCAAGGUCAUACAAAUAAUUGAAAAAAUCUGAAACUUAAACUCAGAUCUUUCUACUUCUUCAUAUUCUUGUUCCUAACCAAAAUGCUAUAUUGCUUUCACUUUGCUUGUCUUUGUUGCCUUUCUCUGUUAUUAUCUGUUGAAAUUGUUUUUUUCCCCAGUCUGAAUUUUUAUGUUAUUCAUAAAAUGUGUUCUAGUCUUUUAAUCCAGAAAUAUUUUUUAUUGACUCUAAUCUCUCACUGACCCCAACAGAACAUCUGGUACUUCAUGAUAGAUGGUCAAUAUGUGUUUUAAGUAAAGGAGAUGGAUAUUUAAGUUGGAGCAUAGGUAUCUGGUUAUUUUAUUUCACAAUUGCUGUAAAGAGAAAAAUAAAAAUUAUUCAGUAUUUUGCAGAAAAAUGGCACUGUAUAAAUAUUUGCUAAAUUGAAUGAAUUACUGAAAAUUCAGUAAAUCAGCCUCUUAGGUGUCUACUUCUCUUUCUACUGUCCUUAUUGUAGAUCAUAGCUAUAUAUGUAAUAGCAAAAUGUCAAAUCAUUUACUCAAUAUAUGUGGGAUGCCCAAUACUCUCCGUGUGAAUUGUGCAGCUGAGCAGACCUGGGGUUCUAUUUGUUCUAUAACUGAUAGCAGAAAACGGCCCAGUCUUAAACGUUUGCAGGGGAAUUCAGAAUUUCCAGCUACACCACCAGCUGUAACUAUAGCUUCCCUUCCACAGAGGUGCUGUUUUAUGGGCUUUCAGACUGAAAACAAAUCUGUUUCAUGGUAUGUCUGUUUUGUCUGUCCUCAAAUGUGCAUGGUACUGAAGAAGAGCAAGGACAGGGCAUGAAGGUGGAAAAGAGAGGAGACGCAGCAGCAAUGAGGAGAAGAUGAAGGGCAAUGAUGGAGACUAGGUUAAAUUAAAUGCCAGAACUCCCAAUCCUUGGAGGCUAUUGUGGAUGCUGUCAUCCUGAGUCAGCAACAUAAAUAAAUAAGUCAGAUCUGGCUGAACUCUGGUGUCCUGCACGUUCUAUUCAAAUGAGGAAUUCUAGGAUUCUAUUUUAUUUAAAAAAUUAAAAAUUUUGGAUAUAAGUCAUUUUAUCAAUUGCAGAGUUUCUCAAACAAGAGUAUGUGAGCAUUUUCCCUAUGCUUGUGUAUUCUCCAAGAAAAUGAUCAAUUUUAUAAUUAUAUUUUGUUUAUAGCUCUAAAACAGUAAUUUAUGCAUGUCAGGGUUAUCUGGGUCUCCUGAUGCAGUCUGAUCAUGCAAUUUUUGUAGCACACUUUUGAUGAAUUAAUAAUCUGAUUAGACUGAGGCAGUGCUAUUUAUUUAUCUUGAGUUAAGGGGAAAAGACUAGAUUUGUCUUCCAGAUGGAAUUCAGGCAUUGCUUGUGUGUCCCCUACAGGUACUCCACCUGAAUAACUCAGGCAUGUGCCUGUUGGUGCUCCCACAUGUGUAACUCAGGUGUGUGUCUGUAUGUUUUCCAUGGAUUAUGUAUAUAACUCUGACAUGUGUCUGUGUUUCCUACAUGCACUGUGUAUCUAACUUAGGUGUGAGCCUGUCAGUGUUGUGUUUGUGCACUGCAUGUAUAACUCAGGUGUGUGCCUGCAAUGAUUGCAUAUGUGCACUAUUUAUAUAACUCAGGUGUGUGUACAUGUUUUCUAUGUUCACUGCAUGUGUAACUCAGACGUUUCCUUGUGUUUCCUAUGUAUGCUAAACAUGUAACUCAGACAUUGCUCUUAUGUUCUCCAUAUGUACACUACAGAUAUAACUUAAACAUAUUUCACAC